UUCCUUUAUCUAAUAAUGUUGGAUUUAGGACAAGAGUUGCCGGAAUAUUGUCUGUGGAGUUCCCAGCUUCGAGCCCUACUUCUGUGGGUUGUGUACCAGCUGAUUCCAUCAUAGCUGUACGUAUCAAUUUCACUUCUUACAGUUGGUCGUGGUUCGCAGAUGGCCAUACCCAGUUUAGGAGUUGAAAAUCUCUUUCUCUCUGCUUGGUGGUUGAAGAUGCUGGAGUUGUCAUUACUUCCAGCUGUGCUUCCUUUGCCUUUAUCACAUCUUCCAAAGUGGCUACCUUUUGAAAAAUAUCCCUGAAGGUUUCUCUACUCCAAGAAGCUAGAACUGAUUGUACCUUCUUUAACUUUACUUGAACCACCUGAAAAAGAGAUCCUUGUAUGUUUUCCUCCCAAGACUCCUUCACUAUCUCUUGAAAAUCCUUAUGCUUAGUCCAAAAAUUUAGGAACCUAAAGGAUUUCUUUACCUGGACCUAAUUAGUAUCCCUAAUAACCUGAAGAGGUGCAUGAUCUGAAUUGAUCAAGUGAGUCACUUCACAAUUAGGCAUGACCUGAAUAAGUUCAUAGUUGCCAAAAACCCUAUCUAAUCUUUUGAGAUUGCAAUCAUCUUGAAUUCUUCCAUUCCACCAAGUGAAUCUGCUUACUGUGAAUCUUAAUUCAUUUAAUGCACAGUUAUUCAUGCAUUGAAUAAAAUCAAGUCUCAUGUUGAGUGACUGGAAGUCCUCCUAAUUUUUCAGAAUCAUUCAUUAUCACAUUAAACUCCCCCCAACAAUACAUGGAAUGUGAGUAUUAUUAGCAAUGUCCUCUAAAUCAUCCCAUAGCUCUAAUCUUUCCAAAUGACUACAUCUACCAUACACUGCUAUUACUUGAAAAACAUCUGACCCUUCUCUCAAUCUGUAUUCCAUUGUCAGUUGCUGUGUGGAAUUUGUGGUCCCAGUCUCUUCCUAUUCUUCAUCCCAGAAAAUCUAAAUUUUAUUAGAAAAAUUUGCUUUGGCCUUUGCUAAACCUAACCUUCUUUUGUAAUCUUUUAACUCUUAUGGGCUCUAAAAGGGUUCCAUUAAAGCGAUGUGGGAAUAAUUAUUCCUCUUGUGGAGAUCAAUUAGCCGCUCAAAAGCACUUUGAGUUCUAACUGAUCUAAUAUUCUAAAAUAGGAUCUUGUUAAUCAUUGAUCACUACUGGAUAAGAGGCCUGAUUUACUCGUAUUAAUUUAAGACUUGACAGCAGUGUUUUUGUAAACUUUUACUAUUCCUACUUUUCAAUUGCCCUAUUUGUCUAGGAGAUAGGUCUCCAUAUCUUCCAAUUUGAUCUAUGUUAGCUUCCAUAUCCGCAUCCUUUCCAUGGUCUUGUUUGUUCUGUUUCUCCUGCUGUGAUAUAUUCUUAAGCUUAGGUACAUCAACUUCUCCCCUUACUUGUGAUUCAGUUUCUGCCACAUCUGAAACAUGAUCUUCUUCUUUGUUAGCAUUGUCUACAUUUUCCUGAUUUUCUGCUUGUACCUCCACUGAAUCAAUUGUAUCUUGCUCAGCCUGUUCUUGAGCCUUAAUUGAACUUUAUGACUCUUCUUGCAGUGUUCCUUUGCUAAUAGCUUUAUCACUUUCAGCCUGUGAAGUUGAUGAUUUAGUGUCCUUCUCUCUAUUGCUCUUCAAAGCACUUCUAUCUUCCUAAUUAAUUUAAUUCCUUUCACCUGCUUCGUUACUCAGGCCAGCUAUGUUUUCCUUGUUCCCAGUAGGAUUUGUGACCUUUUCCUCUAGUGCCCCAAACUUCUUAUUCACUGAUAUGUCUUUGUCCUUCGAAGUUUGAUUUCAUCUCACCUCAGGUUUUCUUCCAUGAUUCCACCUUCUUUUACUUUGUUUCCUUUGUUGCUGUUGAAACUUUGCUUCCCCUUUGUCCUUGUCAUUACUUUUGUCUUCUGUGUUGUUUUUGUUUUCUUUGCCCGUCUUCUCCUUUCUGUGCUAUAUUUUCUUCUGUUUCAGCCAUCUCCUUCUUUUCUUUCUUUGGAUACAAUUCACGAUGAAUGAUAUAACAUUUCUUCUUAUUAUGACCCUGUAACUUACAUUCCGUACAGUACUUUGGAACAUAGUCAUAUUUGAUAGGAAUCCAUUUCUCUACCACUUCUCCUGUCUUCUUACGCAUCCCAAUAUUGAUCCUCUUAGGAAAUUCCCCUAGUAAAUAAACUUCCACUUCAACUCUAGUGCAGCUUGAUCUUGUUUUAUUUUGUGUUGCUAAAUCCACCUGUAAAGGUUUUCCAAUCGCAGCCGCUAAUGAGAAUACAACUUUUUUGGCAAAGAAAUUAGGAGGCAAUGAUGGAUAAAAGAUCCAUGCCACGACAAUAGUUGUUUCCUCCUCAGGAUUGAACAUUGGAUCCCAUUUUAGUGUCCUCAUAAGAUCUGGAAUAUCUGGCCAUCGCUAUGAGAAUUUUCCAAUUACUGCAUAUUAUUGAAGCGUAUUGUCUGCAAAAAUGCUACAGCCUUGCAAGACGGUCCCUGUGGUUUGGCGCUUGUGCGACCUUCCUUGUGCAGUAAUGACAUUCUUUUGAUUAUCCAUUGGUUUCCUUAGGUAAAAUUGGCAGUUUUGGAACACAGCGGCCGCGUUGCCUGAGAUGAUAUCGACUGUGCCAGUGAUGUAACAUCCACGGUAGAACUGUCGAUAGGUUUGAGCAUAGAUCACGCUUUGGUGACCUACCAUGCGGCAAUUCAUAAAUAGUGCAUGAUCAGCUUGGACUCUGAGAGCCACCGCUUGUAAUUUUUCAGGACCUGCGGUGUUUCUGAAUCCUACCUUAUAUGCAAGAAAUCCAUUUCCUGAAAUAACUGCACCAAACGGAGGGGAAAAAAAGGAAUAACACUGACUUGAUAAUGUGAUGCAACAAAGGAAAUGCACUAAGUCAUCCACAAUGUUUUUGCUCCCAGUGAUGAUACUCUUUUGGGAUCCGUCUCCAAUAAAUGUAAGAUUGACUUGUGACACAACUACAUUCUCUUGGUAAACUCCUCCUUUAAUAUAGAUAAAGAACCUG